rnacentral:rRNA from 1 species
CCUACGGGAGGCAGCAGUAGGGAAUCUUCCACAAUGGGCGAAAGCCUGAUGGAGCAACGCCGCGUGGGUGAAGAAGGUCUUCGGAUCGUAAAACCCUGUUGUUAGAGACGAAAGUGCGUGAGAGUACCUGUUCACGUUUCGACGGUAUCUACCCAGAAAGCCACGGCUAACUACGUGCCAGCAGCCGCGGUAAUACGUCGGUGACAAGCGUUAUCCGGAUUUAUUGGGCGUAAAGGGAACGCAGGCGGUCUUUUAAGUCUGAUGUGAAAGCCUUCGGCUUAACCGGAGGAGUGCAUUGGAAACUGGGGGACUUGAGUGCAGAAGAGGAGAGGGGAACUCCAUGUGUAGCGGUGAAAGGCGUAGAUAUAUGGAAGAACACCAGUGGCGAAAGCGGCUCUCUGGUCUGUAACUGACGCUGAGGUUCGAAAGCGUGGGUAGCAAACAGGAUUAGAUACCCGGGUAGUC